GCCGUUGUAGUUUUUGCACCAAAGUGGUACCAUGCAUAAUUCCAUGGUUUUGUUUUAUUCGUGAAAAUGGAUGAUGAUGGUAUGCCCACUAGGCACAUGAGACCUUCCCAAUUGCGACAUAAAUAUAUCCAACCUGUGGUUGCCAAUUUUUUGAGCUUGCACUGAUUCAAAUACCAAAAGCCAAAUGAGAGAUCUGAAGCCAAAAGAAAUAUACAUCAUAUUACUAAUAUAUAUAAUCGGCCUAAAGCAGGUAGGAGAUCGUUGGUCGAAGGACAUUUUUGUCAUUUCACAUCCUAAAAUGAGGGCCUUGGAUAAACAAGUUGUCCAAUUCAGUGAAAGUCCUCCAAAUUUUUUAAAUUAGAUGGGAGGGACAAAAGUUUUUUGAGUUUUUUUUUAAAGUUUUUCCGUUCCAACAACUUAUCUCAGUUGUAGAACAACUUUGAUAGUUGUUCGACAACUAAGAGAAGUUGUUCAACAACUGUGCGAAGUUGUUCAGACAACUAAUGUAGUUGCCCAACAACUAUUUCAAUUGUUCAAGGGCCUUAGCUUUUUUGAGGGACAGGUUUGUGGGAUCCACUUGCCCUUUUUUUAAUUAGAAACUUGGAAGGCCCUUCUGGCUUCUUUUUCUCCUAAAAAGACUCCAUUCCAAAGGACAUUUAUGUCAUUUCACAAUAAUUUCAAUCGAUUAUUUUUAUGAACAUUAGCAUGCUACCAUCAACAUCCAUUUCUAAAGUAGUAAUAUUUUCCAAAAAGAAAAUCCCAUCGAAUCUGACAAUACAACAUCUCAAUACUCAAGUCGAAAAUUAUCUCUUCAUGAUUGUUAAAUCGAAUACUCAAAUUAAAAACUACCUCUUCAUAAUUGUUAAAUUAAAAACCAAAUAUACUAAAAAAAAAUGAAUAAAAAAAACAAAAUUUACCCUAAAAAAUCAACAAAUCCAGAUAGAGAAAGUUUCUUGCGAGCGUUCUCCAUAAGCUACAACUUUUUUGGUCACCCCUCUUUCCUAAAUAGCUCUCUCAUAUUGUUGUUAAUGACGGACUAGGGGCCAGUGCUCAUGGGAGUGGUACUCUUCAUAUUGUUGCAACCAGGACUUCUAUUUCAGAUACCUGUUAAUAAUCGUACACUGGAAUUUGGAACUCUUGUAAGAUGCAAGAUGAUAAUGGAACGGUCAUGGGUAUUCUCGACCAUGGUUUGACGAUGGAGAGGAUGGGAGGAGAAAGAGGAUAGAAGGAGAGAUUGGUGGUUGGGGUUUAGGAUAAUGAAAUUGAUAAUAUAAAUAAGGUAUGUUAGGUAAAAUAAGGAAAUGUAAAGCGAUGA
rnacentral:lncRNA from 1 species